rnacentral:rRNA from 1 species
UAACAAGGAUUCCCCUAGUAACUGCGAGUGAAGCGGGAAGAGCUCAAAUUUAAAAUCUGGCGGUUUUGGCCGUCCGAGUUGUAGUCUGGAGAAGUGCUUUCCGCGCUGGACCGUGUACAAGUCUCUUGGAAUAGAGCGUCAUAGAGGGUGAGAAUCCCGUCUUUGACACGGACUACCAGUGCUUUGUGAUGCGCUCUCAAAGAGUCGAGUUGUUUGGGAAUGCAGCUCAAAAUGGGUGGUAAAUUCCAUCUAAAGCUAAAUAUUGGCGAGAGACCGAUAGCGAACAAGUACCGUGAGGGAAAGAUGAAAAGCACUUUGGAAAGAGAGUUAAACAGUACGUGAAAUUGCUGAAAGGGAAACACUUGAAGUCAGUCGCGUCGCUCAGAACUCAGCCUUGCUUUUUUGCUUGGUGCACUUUCUGAAUGACGGGCCAGCAUCAAUUUUGACCGUCGGACAAGGGCUGGGGAAAUGUGGCACCUCCGGGUGUGUUAUAGUCCCUGGUCGCACACGACGGUUGGGAUUGAGGACCGCAGCGCGCCGUAAGGCAGGGACUUUUGUCCACUUUCGCGCUUAGGAUGCUGGCGUAAUGGCUUUAAAUGAC